rnacentral:lncRNA from 1 species
CAUCACCAAACCACUACCAUAAUCGUCUUGCACGCACGAAAUCAUUGUCUUCCCUCUUCCUCUAUUCGCUCUUUUCUCUAAUGAACUAAUUAUUGUUGUCGAACCACCACCAUCUCCAUUAACAGAAAAGAUCCUUCCUCUCCCUUGCAUGGCUUCUUCUCACUCUAUAGCUUCCUUCUCCUCCUCUGGUUUAGAUGCUUCUAUCUCCCUAGUUGUCACCUUGCUUUCUUUCUUCCAUUUCCACCCUGUGUUUGCCUUUUAUGCAUGAUGUUGCCCGUGGAGCAAAAGGUUUUA